rnacentral:lncRNA from 1 species
AUUUGUGAAAUAGAAUCUGUUUUUAUAAUUUAAAAUAUGUUUAUGUCCUGUUUUUGUUCGAUUUAAUUCAUUCAAUUUGUGUGAGUGUACCUCUGUGUGUCUAGUGUCUACAUAUAAAAUUUCGUUGAAUUUAGAUAAUUGUAAGUCGGUCUAAUAAUUAUUUUUCGGUGGCUGGUCGGUAGGGACAACAACCCAUUUUUUUGAUAAUUUAAGUCAUUAGAUAAAACAAUCUUCUAUGGGAAAGACCCUUAUUUUCAUAUGCUACAAUUGAUAAAUCUUAGUGUUAAUAAGGAAAACCAAUAGGACAAUUGUGUGCUUUUAAUCCUAUCACUUUACAUGUUUUUUUUAGUUUCUAGUUUUUUUUUUUUUUAAAUUAUAAUGGGAGAAGAGCAAUUUUGGUAUUAUCCAGAGGAUCCCAUUUUUGGGUAAAAAUGGGGACUAGUUGUAGGGCUCAUUUUACGUUGAAUUUCAACGAUUUGAACCAUCUAUUUUGUAAAUCUCAAUUUGUAGAUCAUCCUUGCAAAAAAUUGAUUCAAUCCGAAAUCAUUUGUCUAUUUAAUUAUCAAGAUGAAUUUUUAUUGUUUCUUAUAGAACAAAUCAAACAAUUUUUGUGAAUUUAAAUCUUGAGGUUAUUUGGUUCACAAAGGCCUUUGCAAGUAAUGGAACAUUGUAAUGGGAAUGAGUCUAUUGUGUAAUACUACUUAAAUGAUACAUAUACAGUGGACAUAAUUGAUAGGAUUUUUACCACCUACAAAGUAGUAGGGAUGAAAGAAUUUAAAUACUUGCAAGAGUACAAGGUAAUCGUAGCAUAGUCGGUUCUAGCAAGGUCGUUUUCCACAGGGAUUGGAUGAAUAAUUUAUGUCAAAUCAAAUCUUAAUUAAUUAUUUAAAACAAAGUUUGGGAAAAGGUUGAUUUUAUGACCUAAAAUAAUAAAACCGAAUUUGAUAAAAAAAAUUUAAAGAAAUCAACAUAAGUAAAGAAACUAAAACAAAACAGUUUUAAAAAAUUAAUUUAAGCACUAGGGUUUCGCCGUCAUCUUAACAAUUUUACGUAGUUCUUCCAAUUACUUAUGACUUACACAUACAUAUUUUGAAGGUUAGGUUUUCCUAAAGUAUGCCUACUUGGAUCCCAAUAUAGAGCGUAUAUCAAACAUACAACUCGUCUGUGGUAUUCAGAUCAAAUCUAAACAUGCAAGACUCAUUCAACUUUGUGAAACCUUUUGAAAAACCAUGCAAUCCUUAAGAUGUGGUAGUCAUUCUAAGUGAACUUACACAUAUUAACCACAAGAAGCAUUCGUCAAUUUCAAGGACCGACCUCCGACCAAAAUUGCAUCAAAUUACUUUUCUAAAUAUCCUAAUGAUGAUCAAGCAUCAAGACAAAUAGAUAAUUUAAACACGGUGAUUAACAUUUCAAAACCUACGUCCAUAAUAUCAUAAGCAAAUAAAAAAGAAAUUACAUAUUCUUGCUAAGGCUUGUGGCAUUGCCCUAGCAAAAGAGAAUUAGUUAUGAAUAAUCAUAAAACUAAAUAUUAUUAAAAACUUGGAUGGUAAACACUUUGAAAAUAAACUCAAAUCAUCAAAAGCUGUGCGUUAUUCUCUUCCUCAAAACCCCUAAUGGCUAAAUAGCCUUAUUUAUAUUGCUACACAAUUAAAAUCCUUACUGAAAACUAGGAAACAUAAUAAGUUAAGAGAAAUUAGGAAACAUAAUCCUAAUCAAAGAUGGGAAAUCUGUGCAGCCACAAAUUAGCCACGUUUCUAGAUCUCUAGGGCUCCAAAGCAGGCCCAAAAUAGCUAGAAUUAAAGCUUGAGAUGUUCCAAACAUAAUUUCAAAAGGCCUCAAACCCAAAAGACAUCAUCUUGGACGCCAAAAAGCCCAAAUAAGUCCAAAACGUCACUUUGAUUGCAUUGCCCUUUGCUCCUUUAUUUCAUCAUCAUAAAUAAACUGGUUGGUAGAAAAAUUUGGAACGUUGAUAUAAUCAUUUUGAAAGACUCACGAACAUCCUUUAAUUAUAAUCACUCUAAAAUUCAUCUGUUUGACCAAUUUUUGCUUAAGAGGAAGUCGAAUAUUCUACAUUGGAAAUAUAAAUCAAAGUAACAAAAUUCUCACAAAAUAACCAAUAAAUUAUAACUAAAAAUAGGGUAAAAUAUAUAGUAUAAUAUCGACUAAUCAAUAAGGCUAUCCUUUUUGUGCCUCCUCAUAUUCUUCAUUCUUUAUGUGAGAAUGCCUGUAUUAUUGUUCUACAAAUUUAGACCAAUUUGUCCAGACUAUUGUUUGUUGCUAAUUAUGUGAAGAAAGGAAGAGGUCUACAAGGAAUCUAGGUUAAAAUCAUGAACCAUGAAAAUAUGAACAGGAUUUGCAUUAAUUCAAGUGUACUCUCUCAUCAUGUGGAAUCAGAAGAGAGGUCGGCCAUUAUUACAAGUGACGCUUGUUUUGAGAUCCUGCAGGUCUGCAGCGGACAAACGCAUAUUUGCAUAAAAGUAGUAGAGUUGCUUAUCUGCUUUGGUAUGGAACCCAAAAGUUUUGGGCUCCUUAUCCAUACCGUUCAACAUGCAGAUGGUCCCAUCUUCUACCACCUUGCUCCAUCUCUCACAUUUUGGAAACAUAGCACUUGGAUUGAAGGCAUGCCUUUCACAAGGGUGGUGCUAAGCACAGAGGAAGGUCUACUGCAGAAGUUACCCUACUAGCGGUGUUACAUAAGAAUUUAUAAGCAAGAGAAUGCUGCUGGAGUUCAGGUUUUGGUGCAGUGACGUGGUUAGACAACAAAAACAGCUAUUUGGGAGGAUUAUGAUGAUUUCUCUGCGAAAGUUCCAUAUUUCAAGUUCUAAUACAAGGUUGUUCUUCAAUGAGGGGGCAAUGUUAUGAUCUAUGGUUGCCUUAAUCAGAAUUAGAAUUGCGUUAGUUGUUAUUACUUGUUUUUAGGCAGUGAGUUAAAAAAAUGUCAACUGAAUAAAGUGUGUGGGAGCUAGUAUAUGAAGCAAGAAGUGAGUGGAGUCUGUAACAAACAUAUUUUACAAAAAGAAAUUAAAUACAAAAAAAUAUAUUGGAGCUAUGACUGUCCUCUUCUUCAUUCCACUCCCUAUUUUGUGUAUUGGUUAAGGUUGAAUAAAGAGUGAGAUUUGGAUCGUAUCAUUAACAAUCCACAAAACCAUGGAGGGAAGACCAAACCAGAGAAGGACUUUACAAUCCGAAACAAGAAUCAAUUGGGUUAGAUACGUUGCUUUAUUGGAUUUCACCGAAUUAAAAUAUCAAAUUAUAUUAAUAAAAUAAAAAUCACGCAUAAUGCAGUACGUUUUCUUUUCUUCUGUUUUAUCCAGGCGUUUAUUGUUUCUUCGUAGAGAUCGAAUCUGGAUCCUUCCCGAUCCUCUUUGUGAGGAUUCCGAGGAUCUAUGAAUCAUAUCUGUUCAUCAUAUAGUAUGCAGUCAGAAAUAAUUUUAAAUAUUUUUA